CUGGACUCCCCCAACAUCGGAACAUGUUUCCUGCCUCUAGCAUGUCCAAACCCUUAAUAAUCUUAUAUGUUUAAAAAAGAACACCUCUCAUCCUUCUAUACUCCAGACUGUACAAGACCAGGUGCUCCAUUCCCUCAGACUGACAUUCUGGCCAUCC